AGCAGCAGCAGCAGCAAGCAGCGACUGUCUCCUCUGACUGUCAGCUGACACAACUCGCUGAGGGCUUUACUCAACUUGGAAAGAACUUGUCUCCAUGCAGUCAGAGGUCAUAACUAAAGGAUCAGUCUGGUUCCAGGACCCCUCAGCACCCCUCAUGACCCCUCGGUGUGGGGCUUGAACUCACUGCCCGCGGUGCUGCACUGCUGUCUAAAAAAAGCUUCACUUUCAUGCGAUGUCCUGAGGGAAAUGACGGCGCCGAGACGGAGGCAUGCAGCCUCUGGAAUCGGGUGUGAAAUUAACGGGACACACGUUAUUCCAGGGUGCUGCUUAACCAGUGUGAAAAACAGAUUGUGACAGCGAUAAUAAAGGAGACCUCUCACUAAAAGUCCAUGUUCUCCUGGAUCCAUGU